AUACGUAGGUGGCAAGCGUUAUCCGGAUUUACUGGGUGUAAAGGGCGUGUAGGCGGGACAGCAAGUCAGAUGUGAAAAUUAUGGGCUCAACCCAUAACCUGCAUUUGAAACUGUUGUUCUUGAGUCCCCCGAUGGAGAGGCAGGCGGAAUUCCGUGUGUAGCGGUGAAAUGCGUAGAUAUACGGAGGAACACCAGUGGCGAAGGCGGCCUGCUGGACAUUAACUGACGCUGAGGCGCGAAAGCGUGGGGAGC
rnacentral:rRNA from 1 species